rnacentral:rRNA from 1 species
GACGAACGCUGGCGGCGUGCCUAAUACAUGCAAGUCGAGCGCAGGAAAUCAUCCGAACCCUUCGGGGGGACGUUGAUGGAAUGAGCGGCGGACGGGUGAGUAACACGUAAAGAACCUGCCCUCAGGUCUGGGAUAACCACGAGAAAUCGGGGCUAAUACCGGAUGGGUCAUCGGACCGCAUGGUCCGAGGAUGAAAGGCGCUUCGGCGUUGCCUGGGGAUGGCUUUGCGGUGCAUUAGCUAGUUGGUGGGGUAAUGGCCCACCAAGGCGACGAUGCAUGGCCGACCUGAGAGGGUGCUCGGCCACACUGGGACUGAGACACGGCCCAGACUCCUACGGGAGGCAGCAGUAGGGAAUCUUCCACAAUGGACGAAAGUCUGAUGGAGCAACGCCGCGUGAACGAUGAAGGCCUUCGGGUCGUAAAGUUCUGUUGUAAGGGAAGAACAAGUGCCGCAGGCAAUGGCGGCACCUUGACGGUACCUUGCGAGAAAGCCACGGCUAACUACGUGCCAGCCGCCGCCGUAA